AACGCGAAGAACCUUACCAAGGCUUGACAUAUACGAGAACGGGCCAGAAAUGGUCAACUCUUUGGACACUCGUAUACAGGUGGUGCAUGGUUGUCGUCAGCUCGUGUCGUGAGAUGUUCGGUUAAGUCCGGCAACGAGCGCAACCCUCGUCCUAUGUUGCCAGCACGUUAUGGUGGGAACUCAUGGGAUACUGCCGUGGUCAACACGGAGGAAGGUGGGGAUGACGUCAAAUCAUCAUGCCCCUUAUGUCUUGGGCUUCACGCAUGCUACAAUGGCCGAUACAAAGGGCUGCGAUACCGCGAGGUGGAGCGAAUCCCAAAAAGUCGGUCUCAGUUCGGAUUGGGGUCUGCAACUCGACCCCAUGAAGUCGGAGUCGCUAGUAAUCGCAGAUCAGCAAUGCUGCGGUGAAUACGUUCCCGGGUCUUGUACACACCG
rnacentral:rRNA from 1 species